rnacentral:rRNA from 1 species
UACAGAGGUGGCAAGCGUUGUUCGGAAUUACUGGGCGUAAAGGGCGCGUAGGCGGCCUUCUAAGUCAGACGUGAAAUCCCCCGGCUUAACCUGGGAACUGCGUCUGAUACUGGGAGGCUUGAGUAUGGGAGAGGGAUGUAGAAUUCCAGGUGUAGCGGUGAAAUGCGUAGAUAUCUGGAGGAACACCAAUGGCGAAGGCAGCUCGCUGGGACGUUACUGACGCUGAGACGCGAAAGCUAGGGGAGCGAAUGGG